ACAUUUAUAUAUCUUCUACGACUAUACAGCUGGUUAGCAGAUAUAUGAAGAAGCAGGCAGCCCCCACCACCUAUCUCUCCCCAAAACCUUCCAUUCCGUUAUAUCUUUAAUUUCUCACCCGAAAGAAUCAAAUAAUCAUUGUGUUCAUCAUAUCAUAAUGCUCCUGAUCCAUAUAUAUGAUUCCCAUUCCACUCAAAUUUUUUAUCACCUCAAUCCGAGGCUGAUAUUCCGGGAAUAAAGACAGUUUCUUUAUGAUGCCGGCCAUGGCCGCCACUCAUCUGAGAUCGAUCGAAUUGAACCCAUAUGGGAAGCUUCAUCUUUGAGGGGAAUGUUGUCUGGCUCGAAGCCGCCAUUAAUCGUAUCGUAUCUCCUUCGAUCCAUCUUUAAUGGUGUCUUCGGACCAGGCUUCAUUCCCCUCAAUCACUCCUUCCACCGAUUUCAUCACUGCCUGCUAGCCAGCUUCUUUAAUUUACUUUAAAUUAAAGGAGAUUCUUGAAUUGAUUUGGGUUAUAUGAUCUGAAGUAAGUCUUGCCCACAGUUUAAUUUCAUGUGAAUUAUUGAAGAGUUUGUUUUGUAUUUUGCAGGGAGCUGAGGAAUAUGAAUUGGCAUAAUGAUGAAGGGCUUUGACCCUACCUUUCUGUUCUUCUUCUUUGUUGUUGAGGUUGAAGACAAUAAAUUGAUGAUUAUAUUGCUGGGUUCUAGCACGUAUAGUACGCACAACCGCAGUAGAAAUUAAUGGUGAAUUUCUAAUUUACUUUUGGCCCAUGUUCAUCAUCAUGGCUGUGUGAUUUCUGUGUCUUUAAUUCCUACUACAUCAAUUGAACUUUUUGAGUCUAGACUGCUUCAUCAUCAUCAUCAUAUCAUAUGAUUGAGUAAAUUAGGGCUUCUUUUCCCCUCAUCAUUGCAGCAACCUUCUUCAAUUCUUCUUCUACAUGCAACCAUAUUUCUAGGGUUUUGUCUCUCCAUAUACACAAACAGUACCAGUAAAAUAGUAGGUGUUAAUGAGUUCAGACGGACAACUUAAUUGAUUCUUGAAUGGUAGAUUGUGAAGUGAAAAUCAAGAAUUAAUGAGCAAAGUUGGAUCUUUUUGCUUAAUUUCCUUUUCUGGAGUUUUCUUUUUUCCUUGUCUUUUUCCCUAAUCCAAGAUUCCUUUUUUAGUUUCAAUUUCUGCAAUAAUUCCUUAUUUACAGCAAUAUAUACGGAGUAUUAAACACGUGAUUGGUGGGUGUUGAUUAAUCCAUGGCCGUAAAGAUAUGAUCUUUGGGUAGUCAAAUGUAUGAUAUCCUGAGCUAAGGGAGUGUAAUAAGAUUCUUUACGCAACACUUUGCCUACAAAAAACUAACACACAAAGAAUACGUAGACGUCCACUUAGCUUGCCGGUUUCUGCAUGACCAAAUCAGUCAUGGAACGUGUUUGGGAGUUGAGAUCAUUGGGAACAACGCGGAAGUUACGUACUGCACACAAAAGCUGACUGCCACAAACAUAUCUGAAGUUGACAACAGCUAAGCCUAUCAAACUCCA